UACGGGGGGGCAAGCGUUGUUCGGAAUUACUGGGCGUAAAGGGCCAGUAGGCGGCCAACUAAGUCCGACGUGAAAUCCCAAGGCUUAACCUUGGAACUGCGUCGGAUACUGGAUGGCUAGAGUUUGGGAGAGGGAUGCGGAAUUCCAGGUGUAGCGGUGAAAUGCGUAGAUAUCUGGAGGAACACCGGUGGCGAAGGCGGCAUCCUGGACCAACACUGACGCUGAGGAGCGAAAGCCAGGGGAGCAAACGGG
rnacentral:rRNA from 1 species